CUCCUGAUAGCUCAGUUUGGUAGAGCGAUGGACUGUAAUUAAAACUCAUCUUCUAGGAAAUCCACAGGUCGUGUGUUUGAAUCACACUCGGGAGA